GGGGAACCCAGCGGACUUUUGCGCACUGAACCAAGCGGACUUUUAGACAGAGAACCAGGUGGGGAACCAGGCAAACUUUGGCGCAGCGAACCAAAUGGAGAACCAGGUGUACUUUGGCGCAGCGAACCAAGCGGGGAAGCAGGCGGACUUUUGCGCAGAGAACCAAGUGGGGAACCAGGCGGACUUUUAUACUGAGAACCAGGCAGGCUUUUAUACAGAGAACCAGACAGGGAACCAGGCGGGGAACCGGGCGGGGAACCGGGCGGGGAACUGGGCGGGGAACCAGGUGGACGCUUACGUAGGGAACCAGACAGACUUCGCCUGAAUCUCAGGGGAGCCAAGGAUGAAUGAAGAUCGGAGAAAGUAUCGGGGAAGUCAUACGGUACACUAGAACGGGGAGAUUCAGAGGUGAUGGGGGAGGACCACUGCUGGUCCACUGGAACACUGGUGGUUUGAAACUCAGAGUAUUCAGAUUUCAGGUGCUCAGAGGAUUCAGAUUCCAGAGAAUGACUCAAUCUGCCAAGAAGUGGAAAAAAGGCCUACAAAUCAGUGAAACUAUCAAAUAACCCAGGGUUCGAUGCCCCAAUGUAUAAGCCCGUCACCAAAUUAGCUUGUAGCUAGCAGAACAACACAUUUUCAUGACAAAAUUCAAUGCCAAACAUUGUGUUACUCUUGUGAUUGUUUGACAAUUCCAAAGUUAAUAUACUUCCUUAAAAUCAUUGAGCAUACAUGUGAACUCUAAUCAUUACAUGUCUACUAACCUGUUAGUAAACACGCCAUUGAAGACCCAAAGACAAGGUACGGAAACAAUGCCUGCUAGAUGUUUCUAUUUUAAGUCACAAAAAAAAUAUUUCGGUGUAAGGCUUCUUUUACUGCCUUCUAGUUGUCCAAACCCAAUUUAAUUGUAAUGCAAAGCAUUGUCCAAACUAUUUCAAGAGAAUAACGAAACCAAAAUUGCCCUUCAUCACCCAAAUCUAUCAUGUAACACAAAAAUCCAAAUUCAUUGAUAAAAAUGUGUUUGCUCACCAUGAAUGACCCAAAGCCAACAAAAAAUGCCACCAAGGUCCAAACGUAGAGGAAAAUCUUUAGAAAGGAGAAAAAUGAAAAACCACACACCCAAGACGUCGACAAUAAAAGUCACACUGUAACUACUUCUACAAGCUCUUUUCGCAACCUGUUCCACAACAUCUUCACAAAAACGAACACGCCCUUUUCUUCAUCAUACAACAGAGCAGUCUGGCUAAACAGGUCGGUCAACUUCUGGGUGGAAUACUGAUGAUUGUCCAAAAGUCACCGGUGCGAGUCAAAUAUGUCAAAGAUGCAUUUAAUAUAAAUGAAUGAACAGUUCCCUUUCAUUUUUGAAAAGAUUGUGAUGAGAAUGUUCUACACUUUAAUUUGCAACGUGCCAAGUGGCUACCA